UAGCAAAUGACCUGCACGCUACGCAGGAA
rnacentral:sRNA from 1 species